ensembl:rRNA 5S_rRNA 5S ribosomal RNA
UCCAGCAGCCAUGUCACCCUGCAACUCACAACUGGCAACCCACUGAAGCUCAGCAGGUGUGAGCCUGGUCAGUACCUGGAUGGGAGACCUCCUGGGAAAAACUAAGGUUGCUGCUGGAA